rnacentral:rRNA from 1 species
GACAGAGGGUGCAAACGUUGUUCGGAAUUACUGGGCGUAAAGCGUGUGUAGGCGGCUCUGCAAGUCGGAUGUGAAAGCCCCGGGCUCAACCUGGGAAGUGCACUCGAAACUGACUGAGCUUGAGUGCAGGAGAGGAACGCGGAAUUCCAGGUGUAGCGGUGAAAUGCGUAGAUAUCUGGAGGAACACCGGUGGCGAAGGCGGCGUUCUGGACUGCAACUGACACUGAGGAACGAAAGCCAGGGGAGCAAACGGG